GACGAACGCUGGCGGCGUGCUUAACACAUGCAAGUCGAACGAUGAAGCCUAGCUUGCUAGGUGGAUUAGUGGCGAACGGGUGAGUAAUACGUGAGUGACCUACCUUUGACUCUGGGAUAAGCCUGGGAAACUGGGUCUAAUACCGGAUACGACCAAUCUCCGCAUGGGGUGUUGGUGGAAAGCGUUAUGGAGUGGUUUUAGAUGGGCUCACGGCCUAUCAGCUUGUUGGUGAGGUAAUGGCUUACCAAGGCGACGACGGGUAGCCGGCCUGAGAGGGUGACCGGCCACACUGGGACUGAGACACGGCCCAGACUCCUACGGGAGGCAGCAGUGGGGAAUAUUGCACAAUGGGCGCAAGCCUGAUGCAGCGACGCCGCGUGAGGGAUGACGGCCUUCGGGUUGUAAAACCUUCUGUU
rnacentral:rRNA from 1 species